rnacentral:rRNA from 1 species
UACGGAAGGUGCGAGCGUUGUCCGGAAUCAUUGGGCGUACAGGGCGCGUCGGUGGCCCGGUCAGUUCGUGGUGAAAGCGCGGGGCUCAACCCUGCGUCGGCCAUGAAUACUGCCGCGGCUGGAGCACUGUAGAGGCAGGCGGAAUUCCGGGUGUAGCGGUGGAAUGCGUAGAGAUCCGGAGGAACACCAAAGGCGAAGGCAGUGUCCUGGGGAGUACCUGACGCUCAGGUGCGAAAGCCAGGGGAGCGAACGGG